CGGGAGGCUUAACACAUGCAAGUCGAGGGGCAGCACAAGUAUUUAUAUUUGGUGGCGACCGGCGGAUGUUUGAGUAACACGUAUGCAACCUACCAUUUACAGGAGGAUAGCCCGGAGAAAUUCGGAUUAAUACUCCAUGUAUCAAUUAGUUCGCAUGAAUUUUUUGAUAAAGUUUUCAACGGUAUUUGAUGGGCAUGCGUCCCAUUAUCUAGUUGGUAAGGUAACGGCUUACCAAGGCGAUGAUGGGUACGGGGUCUUAAAGGAUGAUCCCGCACACUGGCACUGAGACGCGGGCCAGACUCCUACGGGGGGCAGCAGUGAGGAAUAUUGGUCAAUGGGGGGAACCCUGAACCAGCCAUCCCGCGUGCAGGAAGACAGUUCUAGUAAUUGUAAACUGCUUUUAUUAAAGAAGAAUAAGUUUGACUUGUCAAAUGAUGACAGUACUUAAUGAAUAAGCAUCGGCUAACUCCGUGCCAGCAGCCGCGGUAAUACGGAGGAUGCAAGCGUUAUCCGGAUUUAUUGGGUUUAAAGGGUGCUCAGGCGGGCCAUUAAGUCGGCGGUGAAAUUUUGCGGCUCAACCGUAAAAGUGCCUUCGAUACUGGUGGUCUUGAGUGUGGAUGAGGUAGGCGGAAUUUGUGGUGUAGCGGUGAAAUGCAUAGAUAUCAAGAGGAACUCCGAUUGCUAAGGCAGCUUACUAAGCCAUAACUGACGCUCAAGCACGAAGGCGUGGGGAUCAAAAAGGAUUAGAUACCCUGGUAGUCCACGCAGUAAACCCUAUAAGGGGCUGUUUGCGAUAUAUUGUAAAGCGGUUGAGCGAAAGCGUUAAGUAAUCCACCUGGGGAGUACGUUCGCAAGAAUGAAACUCAAAGGAAUUGACGGGGGCCCGCACAAGCGGAGGAACAUGUGGUUUAAUUCGAUGAUACGCGAGGAACCUUACCCGGGCUUGAAAUGCAGAUGACAGGCGGCGAGAACCGUUUUUCCUUCGGGACAUCUGUGUAGGUGCUGCAUGGUUGUCGUCAGCUCGUGCCGUGAGGUGUCGGCUUAAGUGCCAUAACGAGCGCAACCCUCAUCGUUAGUUGCCAUCAGGUCAAGCUGGGGACCCUAACGGGACUGCCAUCGUAAGAUGUGAGGAAGGUGGGGAUGACGUCAAAUCAGCACGGCCCUUACGUCCGGGGCGACACACGUGUUACAAUGGGUGGUACAAAGGGCAGCUACCGGGCGACCGGAUGCCAAUCUCUAAAACCACUCUCAGUUCGGAUCGGAGUCUG
rnacentral:rRNA from 1 species